AUUGAACGCUGGCGGCAGGCUUAACACAUGCAAGUCGAACGAUGAUUAUCUAGCUUGCUAGAUAUGAUUAGUGGCGGACGGGUGAGUAACAUUUAGGAAUCUGCCUAGUAGUGGGGGAUAGCUCGGGGAAACUCGAAUUAAUACCGCAUACGACCUACGGGUGAAAGGGGGCGCAAGCUCUUGCUAUUAGAUGAGCCUAAAUCAGAUUAGCUAGUUGGUGGGGUAAAGGCCCACCAAGGCGACGAUCUGUAACUGGUCUGAGAGGAUGAUCAGUCACACCGGAACUGAGACACGGUCCGGACUCCUACGGGAGGCAGCAGUGGGGAAUAUUGGACAAUGGGGGCAACCCUGAUCCAGCCAUGCCGCGUGUGUGAAGAAGGCCUUUUGGUUGUAAAGCACUUUAAGCAGGGAGGAGAGGCUAAUGGUUAAUACCCAUUAGAUUAGACGUUACCUGCAGAAUAAGCACCGGCUAACUCUGUGCCAGCAGCCGCGGUAAUACAGAGGGUGCGAGCGUUAAUCGGAAUUACUGGGCGUAAAGCGAGUGUAGGUGGCUCAUUAAGUCACAUGUGAAAUCCCCGGGCUUAACCUGGGAACUGCAUGUGAUACUGGUGGUGCUAGAAUAUGUGAGAGGGAAGUAGAAUUCCAGGUGUAGCGGUGAAAUGCGUAGAGAUCUGGAGGAAUACCGAUGGCGAAGGCAGCUUCCUGGCAUAAUAUUGACACUGAGAUUCGAAAGCGUGGGUAGCAAACAGGAUUAGAUACCCUGGUAGUCCACGCCGUAAACGAUGUCUACUAGCCGUUGGGGUCCUUGAGACUUUAGUGGCGCAGUUAACGCGAUAAGUAGACCGCCUGGGGAGUACGGCCGCAAGGUUAAAACUCAAAUGAAUUGACGGGGGCCCGCACAAGCGGUGGAGCAUGUGGUUUAAUUCGAUGCAACGCGAAGAACCUUACCUGGUCUUGACAUAGUGAGAAUCCUGCAGAGAUGCGGGAGUGCCUUCGGGAAUUCACAUACGGGUGCUGCAUGGCUGUCGUCAGCUCGUGUCGUGAGAUGUUGGGUUAAGUCCCGCAACGAGCGCAACCCUUUUCCUUAUUUGCCAGCGGGUUAAGCCGGGAACUUUAAGGAUACUGCCAGUGAUAAACUGGAGGAAGGCGGGGACGACGUCAAGUCAUCAUGGCCCUUACGACCAGGGCUACACACGUGCUACAAUGGUAGGUACAGAGGGUUGCUACACAGCGAUGUGAUGCUAAUCUCAAAAAGCCUAUCGUAGUCCGGAUUGGAGUCUGCAACUCGACUCCAUGAAGUCGGAAUCGCUAGUAAUCGCAGAUCAGAAUGCUGCGGUGAAUACGUUCCCGGGCCU
rnacentral:rRNA from 1 species